GCGCCGCCCAGCUCCGGCGAACCCAUCAAAACACCCGGAGCAGUAAAUACCACAAAGGGAAUUGUAAAACUUUUCGCAAUAAAAGUCCCUCUCUCUGCGUACCUUAAUGCCUCCUAGCCCAAUAAAAGUCUCUUUCUCUCCGCAGACUUUAAUGCUUCCUACCAAUGUGAGUAAUGAGUAGAGAAAAUUGUUCCCAUUUUCUUAUUACCGCCCAGGCUUCUAGGUCCUGGCAAUGGCAACACAGCCAUGGGUGUUGCGCCGGCCCCUCACUCGUUGGCAUCUGUGUCGGCAAAUUUCUCAGACGGCACAUCAUGACGCUCCUCCAGGCAUCGAAUCAUGGAGAUCUGCUGGCAACCGUUGUUGAUGGCAUGGAGGGCGGCGCGGGUGCUUCAAUCUGGCGGGUUGCGGUGCAUCCAUGCGCCCAUAUGUUCAUGGUGUGGCGCUGCUGCAGCCCCUCAACCGCUGCUCUCCUUCCUCCAUGGAAGAAGGCAUCAUAUGGGCUGCUUUCGUCUUCUGCUGGGGCCAAACACGCCAUUUGCGGAAGCACCAUGGCUGUGAUCUGUUCCGGUGGUCGAAUCUAGGAUGAUCCUGUUAUUUUUGCGCUGAAAGGAUCACCAGGUAACCUUGCAUAUUCCGUUGAAGAAGCUGCAAGCUUGAAGAAUGUUGGGUUAGAUGUGUGCAAAGAUGUUUAUUCGCUUUUCUUUUGUUCCUGGCUGGAAAGAGUGUAGUAGUCAAACUUUGUU